CACUAUAACAAUAAUAAUCAUUUACAUUUCCUGAUUUCUGUUCCUGUUUACUACCAGAAAACCACCAGCUACCAAAAGAUUGCUAUUCAACUGCAGCAGCUCUCUGGUGUUGCUCUUGAACGACUUGGGACACUCCUACAGCAGGGAAGCUUUCCCUCAUCUCUCUACUGUCUCCUGCUUUCUUUUAUCAGUGGGCUGGCUUGCUCUUUCUCUCCCAAAGAGGGAAAUCCCAAUGCCUGUCUAGAUUCAGUCUGAAUACCAUACUCACUUGUCAUGACGGUUUUAUCUUGUUAUACAGCCUAGGGUUCCUACUUUCCCAUCACUUCUUCCCAAGUGAUGCCUCUCUGUGUAGACUUAUGUUUUUGGCAAUGAAAGUAAAUGUCAGACUAGACACAUGUGGCCUCUCUACUAGUUUCCUCACAGACAUGGCUGAUUACUGUAAAUUUUACUUUGGUCAGCGCUCAUCCCUAACUCCUCUCUCAGCAUUCACCGCUGCCAACUGAGACGAAUCAUUACCCCUCCUGCCUGGAUUUGCCAAAAAAUAUGUGGCUAAUUUAUCUCUUUGUCGCUUCUAGUUUCCCUGCUUCUGUACAACAGUUUUCUUGCCUACAAAAUUGGACACGUGACCAUUGCCACUCCAAGAGACAGUGAGUCUGGACAAAUCAAGUUGAACGGACCAGAAAUUUUCCUUGCCAUGGACAUGACUGUUUUCAUCUAUUUUGAGCUAGAUAUAUUAAUGCUCCUCUGAACAGUAUUGAUAAUUGGCUGAAAAAGCGUCUGUCUUCAGCAUAAGAAAUGAAGUCAAGGAGUGAAAAGAAUCAAGAAGAAGAAGAUGAGGUCAGGUCAAGGUAGAAAAGAACAGAAAGACCAGACAAAUUAACAUGAAAGUGCAGC